GAUGAACGCUGGCGGCGUGCCUAAUACAUGCAAGUCGAGCGAACGGACGAGAAGCUUGCUUCUCUGAUGUUAGCGGCGGACGGGUGAGUGACACGUGGAUAACCUACCUAUAAGACUGGGAUAACUUCGGGAAACCGUAGCUAAUACCGGAUAAUAUUUUGAACCGCAUGGUUCAAAAGUGAAAGACGGUCUUGCUGUCACUUAUAGAUGGAUCCGCGCUGCAUUAGCUAGUUGGUAAGGUAACGGCUUACCAAGGCAACGAUGCAUAGCCGACCUGAGAGGGUGAUCGGCCACGCUGGAACUGAGACACGGUCCAGACUCCUACGGGAGGCAGCAGUAGGGAAUCUUCCGCAAUGGGCGAAAGCCUGACGGAGCAACGCCGCGUGAGUGAUGAAGGUCUUCGGAUCGUAAAACUCUGUUAUUAGGGAAGAACAUAUGUGUAAGUAACUGUGCACAUCUUGACGGUACCUAAUCAGAAAGCCACGGCUAACUACGUG
rnacentral:rRNA from 1 species